rnacentral:lncRNA from 10 species
GAGGGGACCUAGAUUUUAAAAAUCGUUUGUGCUUUUGAAAUCUUAGUGAAACUAAGCGUUUUCAAUCCAUAAAAAUUUUAACUAACACAUAAAAUUCAUUCAAAUCUCUUAAAACCUUAAAAAUGAUAGACUUCUAUUUUGCCCAUACAAAAGAAAGCAAUAGUGAAAUUUUAACUGAUAAAUAUUAAGAUGCUUUCUUCUUUAAGGAUUGUAGUUUCAAAUGUUUUUACACUAAAAACCAACUGACAGAUCUUUUAUGAAUAUUUGGAAAAUCAUCCUUCGCUUUUUUGCAGCCCAGAAAAGAAGCAAAAAGAAUCAUAAUAUGCAUUUUAUGUGGUGAUAUAAAAGAGUCCCAUGGUAAGAGCAGACGGAAAAUGGUAUAGUUAUUAUUAAUUUAGAAAAACAAAAGAGCAGCCCAGCAUUUCAGUAAUGUGGCAAGUUGUGUGCUCUUGAAGGAGAGAGGGUUUUAUAAUUGGAUUUUAGAGUAAUUUAGAAGACGAGAUAAGAUGUAAUGGUUGAGUAUUAGAGGUUAGAACUACAAGAGAAACCCAUAAUGUAAGGGUUCACUGCACUGGGGGACAACAGAACAAAGAGAAGCAGCGCCAACCGAAAACGGCCCCAGUGAGAAGCAACAAGUUGUCUCUGAAAAUGUCUCCUCAUCUGCCUUUGAGUGGUAUGGAAUCACUGCUGAGCCUCCACUAUUGGUGCCAUCAAAGACCUCAGUGAUGCCAAGAUUAAAGGCUGGAUGGUGAUGAGCAGAUUUCAUCUUUCUGCCAAGAACAGAUUGACCCUGAGCAAGGAUAAAAAGGCCAGCCAUAAGGAGACAUGACAAAUACCAUUGAGUACUGCAGAGCAACUUGGCAGCUGCCCGAGGUAGAGCAUCUUGUUUACAUCACCACGCCAAGCCAGGAAGCAGAGUGAGGCUUUAGUCCCUGAGGCAUUAAGUCCUCACCCUGAUACCCCAAUCCAGGUCUAGCCACCUCUCUCCAGACAUAGUCCUGAGCAUAACAGCUGUGGAGAUCAGUUGCCUUUUCUGCGAAAUUGUCAUUAAACCAUGAGUAAUUUGGCACUAUUUUCUGCAUGAUUUGUCCUCUCUGAAAAUAAGCAGACUCAGGCUUGUGAAAAUGGAAAUUGAUUUACUUUCUAUCCUUCUUGAGCUCAUCUAUUUAAGGUCUACUUCUUCUGGGAUGUGCCAGGAGACUGCACUACUUUCAAGUGGUGGAAAUUUCUUAAAAAAAAAAAAAUAAAAAUAAGCUGAAGGAAACUUGGAAUGAGAAUGCACUUGGCUAAUUGGUUUGCCAUCUAGCACUACCUCUUUCUCUAAGCAGGGAGAAUCAAGCCGCUGUCUGCUUGAUGGGGCAGUGGCAGCCUCGUGUAACCUCUGUAGUUAUCUUCUGACUACUCAGCUGAAUCCACUGCAUUCUACAUAUCUUUCUUAUUUAACGUAGAGUAUGCAUUUAAAAAUAAUAUUUCUGUAAACCUUAUCAAGCAAAACAUGGCAUGACUCGAUGCCAAAUUAUAGUGAUGAUUAUUUUAAGAAGAAUCACAGCGCUUUGGCCCAGUUUUUGGAAAAUGUGAUUAAUAGCACUGCCAGUGCCUUCUAGUGAGCCAGCACCACAAACUAGCUAUUUGAUUUCAUAACACAGUGCUGUUGUGAUCACCAAAGCAACACUAUCCGUUUAGGUGCUGGAUUAGAAUCCAGGCGAGUCCGCAGUAUAGUCUUUACACUUCAUCAACUUCCACACAGGACAUAAAUUGUACUAAUAUAGUAAUAUACUGAAAUCUCAGACCAACUGUUUGUCAUCGGAUUAGAAUGUGAUGACACAGAAUAAAGAUGUGAGACAGAAUCUGUGCUGAGGUCUAAAUUCACAUUGGAAGUCUGGGAAGAGAAGACUGUUUAUAAAAUUAUAGCCCAGGAAUUGCUGCCAAAGUCGGCCUUUGGUGCAGCUGUAAGUCGGAUGGAAUCCACCUUCCUGACGUCAGACCCACCCACUGGAACACUGCUCCUCUGACUGGGGCUUCCCUGAAUGGAAACUACAUGUCAUACUGCAAAGUAAGUGCUGUCGUUCUGGAGCUGUCGGCACGAUUCGAUCUUUGUAGUGGGUUGAUUAUUUGUUCUUUUCCAUCCAGCAAAAAGGCUAUCAGCACACUUGUAGUUUUAGCAUUCAUAUUUUUCAUCCCCAAGUUCUGAGUUUUGCUCAAGCUGACAGAUUUCUUGAGUUCUACUCCCUAGGACCUUCACAUCUGAUGAUGGGGUGCUUUUUCAUUUUCUUUCCUUCUGUUUUGUAUUCUUCAAUUCACUUCUUCAUCUUCUCUUCCCAGGAAAUGAUGACCUCCUUUGUACAGAUUCUGCUACCAUAGACAAUGUGCAUUACCAUUUACAAAACCCAAGGAUACAUUUUGGUUUUCUAUUACUUAGAAAAAUUGGGGCCAUACGUAAAGACGCCAUGGAAUAGGUGUUUAUGCAGAAGGUUUGUCUGGACUAAAAACAAAAUGAAGUUUGAUGUCAUUAUUUAUACAUUUCAGAAGCUCCUAGAUUACUAUCUUAAAGGUUGUUUUUGUUUUUAAUAUAUGACAUUUGAAGUUUCAGUCACAGUGUAAAAAAUAUUUAAAUAAGUUUCAACUGGUUUGCCAGGGAAGCAGGAUGGUAAGGGCGGUAGGCAUAGGGCUAACCUAAGCUUCGGCUAAUUGCUUUAAUACACAUCACACAAGGUGAUCCUCAUAAAGGGUUAUAUUAUGAAUUCAAUUAUAUAAGUAAGAAAACUGGUGUUGAGAGAUGUGAAGUGACUUGUCCAAAGUUACCUCCUAUGCAGCAGAGUCUACAUGACUAGAAUCCAAGUCUUCUGGCUCAUUUUUGUUUGUAUAUAAUUUAUUUGCUUUUAUUUUUAAUUUUACAUAGAUAACUAUAUCACUAAGUAAUGUAUCAUUUAGGUUUCCAUGACAUGAUGUAAGUGUAGUCAUUCCACAUGUUACCGGCCUUUUUUUUUUUUUUUUUUUUUUUUUAAGAGAUGAGGUCUCAUUAUUUUGCCUAGGCUGGUCUUGAACUCCUGGGCUCAAGCAAUCCUUCCGCCUUGGUCUCCCAAAGUGCUGUGAUUAUAGGCUUGAGCCACUACACUCGGACCUGUUACUGACAAUUUUUUUUCUUUUUCUUUUUUGUUGUGCUCUGUCGCCCAGGCUGGAGUGCAGUGGUGGGAUCUCGGCUCACUGCAAGCUCCACCUCCUGGGUUCACGCCAUUCUCUUGCCUCAGCCUCCCAACUAGCUGGGACUACAGGUACCCGCCACCACGGCCGGCUAAUUUUUUUGUAUUUUUAGUAGAGACGGGGUUUCACCAUGUUAGCCAGGAUGGUCUCGAUCCCCUGACCUCAUGAUCUGCCCAUCUUGGCCUCCCAAAGUUCUGGGAUUACAGGCGUGAGCCACCGCUCCCAGCCAACAUUUUUUAAAAAACACUUUUUGAGGUAUAAUGGACAUACAAAAAGCUGUACAUAUUUAAAGUAUACAACUUGAGUUUAUGGGUAAGUAUAUACCCAUGUAACCAUUACCACAGUCAAUGUCAUAAACAUGUCCAUCACCUCUAAAAGCUUCCUCCCACCCUCUUUAUUAUUAUUGUUUAUUGUCAUAAGAACACUUGACAGAAGAUCUACCCUUUUAGCAAAUUUUUAAAUAUACCAUAUAGUAUUAUUAACUAUAGGCACUAUUCUGUACAGUAAUAUAUCUCUAGAACUCACUCAUCUUGCAUAACUGAAAAUUUGUACCCUUUGACCAUUACCUCUCUGUUUCUCCCUUCCCCUAGGCCCUGGAAACCAUAAUUCUCCUUUCUGCUUCUAUGAGUUUGCCUAUUUUCGAUUUCUCAUAUAAGUGAGACUGUGCAGUAUUUAUCCUCCUGUGUCUCACUUACUUCACUUAGCAUAACAUUCUCCAGAUUCAUCCAUGUCAUCACCAAUGGCAGUAUCUCUUUCUUUUAAGGUUGGAUAAUAUUCCAUUGUAUGUAUAGGCCACGUUUCCCUUAUCCUUUGAUCCAAUGAUAGACAUUUAGGUUGUUUCCACGUCUUGGUUAUUGUAAAUAAUGCUGAGAUGGACAUGGGAAGGCAGAUAUCUUUUCAAGACCUUGAUUUCACUUCUUUCGAUAUAUACCCAGAAAUGAGAUUGCUGGAUCGUAUGGUACCCCGAUUUUUUUUUUUUUUUUUUUUUUUUUUUACUUUUUAGGAAUUUCUGUACUGUUUUUCAUAGGGUCUGCAUUAAUCUACAUUUCCACUAACUGUGUACAAAGGUUCCCUUUUCUCCACACUGUCACCAAAAUUUGUUCUUUUCGUCUUUUUUAUAAUAGACCUUCUAACUGGUAUGAGAGGAUAUCGCACUGUGAUUUUGAUUUGCAUGUCUCUGAUGGUUAGUGACAUUGAGCACCUUUUAAUAUACCUGUUGGUCAUCUGUACCUCUUCUGUGGAGAAACAUCUAUUCAGUUCCUUUGCCCAUUAUUUUAAUUGGGUUAUUUGGGUUUUUGCUAAUGUGUUCUUCAUAUAUUUGGGGCAUUAACCCUUUAUCGGAUAUGGUUUGCAAAUAUUUUCUCCCAAUCUCUAGGUUAUCUUCUCAUUUUGUUGUUUGCUUUGCUGUGCAGAAACUUUUCAGUUUGAUGUAAUCCCACUUGUCAAUUUUUGCUUUUGCUCUCUGUGCUUUUAGUUGUCAUAUCAAAGAAAUCAUUGCCAAGGUCAAUGUCAAUAAGGCUUUUCCUUAUUUUUUCUGGGAGUUUUAUGGUUUCAGGACUCACAUUUAAGUCUUUAAUUCGUUUCAAGUUCAUUUUUGUGUAUUGUGUAAGGUAAGGGUCCAGUUUUAUUCUUUUGCAUGUGGAUAUCCAGUUUGCCCAAUUUCAGUUUUUGAAAAGUCUAUCUCUUUCCCAUUGCACAUUCUUGGCACCUUUGUCAAAUAUCAGUUAACCAUAUGUGCCUGUGUUUAUUUCUAGGCUCUUCUAACUGUUAAUUCAAAAUUCUACCUCCAAUAAAUCAUUUAUAUGUUAGAGCCUGGUACUUGGUUACAAACAAAAACAUCCAUAGAUUCAGGGCAGUGAAUUAGAAUUGCCUAGUCUCAACUACAUUUUUAGAAGUCAGUGAAUGUAACUUUUUCAUAUUGCACAAACUCUUAAUUGCUAUAGUCAAGCAGCUGAUAAUUAUGGAUUGGCUUGUUAAUAUUUAUUCCUAACCAUUUCUUGAGCAUCUGCUAUGUGCCAGGCUCUCUGCUAGCUUAUAAACCAUUAAUGAAUACAGUAUGCUUUGUAUUAAAGUAUCACCCCAGAUGCUUUAAAAUGAACUGAUUAUUCUAGCUGCUGAAAGAUUAUUACAAAUUGAUAAUUUGUUUUAUAAUUGAUUCUUGGUCUGCAGGAUCAGUGAAGAGACAGUCCACCACCAUAUAUACAUAAGUGUUCCACCAUUUAUUCCAAGGGUGGAGUAUCAAGAUGGGGAUCCUUUGUAAUAUCAGUGUUGAAAUAGAGUAGGAAAACCUAAAAUAGGAAACAAAUUCAUGAAAAUGCUAAGGAGAUAUAAUCAAAUCAUUAGGUUACAGCACACGUGUUUAGGGGUCAGGAGAUAUUGACUCUGAACAGUCAUGUGAGUCUGCAGGUCAAUUUUAAAUUGAGGAGAGCAGAAUUUUUUAUCUUUUUAUUUUUUAUUUUUUUUAGAGACAGGGUCUUGCUCUAUCACUCAGGCCAGAGUGUCAUGGAGCAAUUACAGCUCACUGCAGCAUUUAACUUCUGGACUCAAGGGAUCCUCCCAUCUCAGCCUUCCAAAUAGCUAAGACUACAGGCAUGCACCACCAUUUCCAGCUAAUUUUCAUUUUUAUUUUUUAUUUUUGUAGAGACAGGGUCUCACUAUGUUGCCCAGGCUGGUCUCAAAUUCCUUCUCAAGUGAUCCUCCCACCUCAACCUCCCAAAGUGCUGGGAUUGCAGGCAUGAGCCACUGCACCCAGCAGAAAUUCUUAACGAGGCAAGGCCAACAGAGGCCAUUCAUUCAACAUCACGGCACCAUAGUGGCCUCUUUUUAAGACUCCUCAGGUUCCAGAUAGAUUUCAUCACUCAAGAUAAGCAAAUGAACCACAGAAUUUUGAAGUUAGAGGUAAUUACAGCAAUGAUCUUAGCCAGCCCCCAUACAUUUUGGGACACACAGGUUCAGGACUGCCUGCCCUGGAGCUGAUUCCAUAAGAUACCCAAACAACUUCUGAAAGAGAAAAAAGUCUUUGUCUCAGUUUCUGCUCUCCAGAGGUAACCCAAAGAGGUAAGGAACCCAGUGAGAAAGACAGAGAGAAGUAUGGACAAGAAACAGAUCCUAAACCUGUUUUGUUUUAUUUUUGGUAGUAGUUGUUUAUUUUUGAAAACAUUCAAACCACCUGUAUUGGUGGCUGUUAUUAUGAAAUAAAUAAACUGAGAAACAACAAGACAAUUUGGCCUCUACAAUUUGUUUAGUUUUGACUAAGUAUUUGCCUUGGAAGAAGUAUGUGUACAAUACUCAUUUUUAAAAGAUGCAACAGUCACCUCGUUACUUGGAGUUUUACUUGAGACUUGAAUGGACUGAAACCACCUGGUCACCACUAGAAGCUACAUCAAGGAAAAGAAAGGCAACAUAUUGAAUCUCUUGGGAGAAACUCAUCCUGUAUCUGCUCGAUUGAAAACAUGAAGGUGCACAUUCCAAGCUGCAUAUGCUCAGGUCCGAGUUUCCAAGGAAACAAGGGACUGCUCAUCUAUCUGCAAAACUGAACUGACGAGUCACUUUCAGCUUGUUACAAACCUUGAUUCUGAAUCAAAUUCUAGUGUGCAGUCUAAAAAUUCUCACUGCCUUGUCAUUUCUGCCGAGCAAACCCCUGAUGCUAUGAGGCUGGCAGUUGGGCAGGGAUUUUCCUGGGUUGUGCACUCUAAUUUUUUCCUCUGCACUGUUAGUGAAAUACUGUCAUUGAGAACCAGCUCCACACUGCACCUAUGUGAGAAAGGCCUUGGUUUCUAUCAGUAAAGUCAGACAGGGCUAUGUGCAUUUGGGAUGCCCUGGUCAACCAUACAGGAGGAAGCACAGUGGUCUUCCCAGCUCUCACAGUGGCCACCAGCUCUCAGGCUCACAAACUAGGCAAAGCAAAGAGCAACAGAACAACCUACUUCCCAACUUUCAUUAGUCACUCAAAUCCAAGUGGGUGAUCGUAUUUCUGAAGGUCUUGAAUACAGGACUUCCUGACCAUUCUUUAGCAUUUACUGAUGAAAGUAUUUCAGAUGUGUUAUGUUGUUUGGCAUGUGUUAUGUUGUUUGGCAAUCACAGUAAGUGUUGAGAUAGAUACUAUGAUUAUCUUCAUUCUCUAGGAACAGGCACAGAGAGGUUAAGUAAUUUCCCAAAGGUCACACAGUUUGUAAGUGAUAAAACUGAUUUGAAGCCAAACUAUGUCACCCCAAACUCAUAUUUUUAACACUUUAUUCCAUCUUCUAAAAGGCUGGCUAUUCUAUUUUUCUCUAAGUUUCAAAUUAGUAUGCCCAUUCCCUUGUUCAUUCAUUCAUUCAUCCAACAAACAUGUGUCAGGCAUCUAUGCCAGGCUCUGUGGAUAUAGUAUAAUAACAAACAAGACAGAUAAGAUUUCUCAGGGAGCUUACGUUUUGUAGAGGAGACUAAAUAAAUAAGCAAGCACAAACAAUGUAGAGUUUGUAAUAUUACCUAUCCCAGCAAAGGAAACCAACACUAGUGUGAGAAAAUUAAAUUAUAAAAGACCCUAACAUUUUCAAGAUACUGAAGGGGAUGAGAUGAAGCAGAGGUAGAGUGGGGCUGGAUUAUGCUGAAACACAUAGAACAGACUGGAUUCUAUUUUAAGUGAGGUGAUAAAUUCUUAAGGGUUUGUCAUUUUUGAGGUAGAACUGUCUUUUGUUCCUAUUGUAAAGAAACUACAUAGGUAGGCAUAAAAUACACCUGUAUGCCAGAGAUAGAAAAAUUCAUAUAAUUCCCAACUCCAAUUCUAUUUCUCUAGGAUAAUUUUAAUUGUGUAUAUGAAACAUAUCUCAAUGUUCUUGAAAGACUGAAAUCCACUCUUUUUAUUAUUUAUUGACUUAUUGAUUUGUGGUUAAGGAAAAAGUAGACUGAAGUAAAAAUAAAGAGUGCAGGAGUAUAAUUGCACAAGAAGUGGGAGGGAGACUUGUUGAACAGGCAACAGCCUAAAGUGAGUAUCCAUGAGUGGGCUCAGUAUGACCCUGCAGCUCCCCCAUCACACUUGCACCCACCUCAAGGAAUCCAGUUCACCUCUAUGGAAAAUCCCUGGGCUCCACGGGACAGAGUCUUGUUUUGUUUUACAUCUGUGUGUCCAUGCCUAGCCAGUAUCUUGUUUAGUGCAGCCUUUCCAUAAUAUUUGUGGAGAGAAAGAAAAAUGAAAGGAAGAAGAGAGGGAGGGGAAAAAGAAAGUGAGAGGAAAGAAGAAAGGUAAAAAGGAAGUAGCACUCUUGGUUUUGCUUCUCCUUGGCUGUUUCGUUAUUCUCAGUACUCCCCAACCCAUCUUCCUGGGAUAAGAAAAAAAAAAGACAUCUAAAAUGACACUUCCAAAAGAUUAAUAUUUUCAUUUCAACACUUCUGAAAGUAUUUCAAUGAAAUUGCUUUCAAAUGGUUUAUUUUAUAUUAGAUCAUUGAGAGAUAGAUUAAUGUCAUAAACGUAGGUACUAGCAAGCAAUAUUUUUGUCUCCUAUGUGCACAUAUUGUAUAUUUCAUAUCCUCUGAUAACUUGAAGUCACUAAUUUAAGUCAAAUUAGGGAAAGGGCAGUAUAGUAAUUGCAAUAUUUUCGGCUCCUUCUUGGUAACAAAUGCAGCUUCUUUUUUCCCCUCCACCCAUAUAUGAGUCUUCUUUUUCUUUGGCUAAGAUAUAAUAGCACUGCUCUACAUGAACAAAACUAUUUUUACUGGCUAUGUUAUUACUGAGAAAUGCAUUGGGAAAAUGUAAAAAUAUUUCACCUUUAUGUUGAAGAAAAUAAACACAGUGGAUUAGAUAAAAUUUGCACAGCUCUUGACAUGUGCCAUAUGUAACAUUUGGGAAACAUCAAAAAAGAGGCUCUGACUUCUUCGGAGAAUCAUAGACUCUGGCACUGGAGGGGGACUGAUCCACCACCCCACCUCACUCCAGCAAUUUGGGCAAACAAGACCUAAAGAAAUUGAAGGAUAAUCUAAAGUUUACAUUAUUAAUGGAAGAAACAAGACCAGAA